AACUAACCAGCCAGCACCGCCUCUAUAAAUACAUACAUGUUGCCACUCGCACAAUUGCACUGCAGACUGCAGUGCACAUCUGCACACGUUCUCGCCAAUCGCCGGGCGGCCAUGGCGAUGAACUUCGAGAUGUGGGGCGCGGUGUGGUCUGCGCUGGCGAGCCUCGUCUUCCUCUGGCCCAUGCUGCAGAACCACGUCCCCGCCGGCCUCCGCCACUGGCUCACCGCCAUGGCCGACAAGCUCGCCUCCCACCUCAGCCCCUACCUGCACAUCACCAUCUCCGAGUACGGCGACCACCGCUUCCGCCGCAGCGACUUCUUCCUCGCCGUCGAGGCCUACCUCAGCCACGCCUGCGCCCGCCGCGCCCGCAGGCUCAAGGCCGACCUCGGCAGGGACGCCAGGAGCGUCCAGGUCUCCGUCGACGACCACCAGGAGGUCACCGACUCCUUCCGCGGCGCCACGCUCUGGUGGUACCCUUCCUCCAUGUCCAACAAGUCCAGCGUCAUCAGCUUCUACCCCGGCGAGGAUGAGCGCCGCCUCUACCGCCUCGUCUUCCACCGCCGCCACCGCGACCUCGUCCUCGACGGCUACCUCCCCCACGUCCUCGCCGAGGGCCGCGCCGUCACCGUCCGCAACCGCCAGCGCCGCCUCUUCACCAACAACGCCAGCACCAGCUGGAACCCCUACCGCCGCGGGAAGGGCGUCUGGAGCCACGUGCCCUUCGAGCACCCGGCCAGCUUCGACACGCUCGCCAUGGACCCCGGCGACAAGGACGCCAUCGUCGUCGACCUCGUGGCGUUCCGCGACGGCAAGGACUACUACGCCAAGGUGGGCAAGCCAUGGAAGCGCGGAUAUCUGCUCUACGGCCCGCCCGGCACCGGCAAGUCCACCAUGAUCGCCGCCAUGGCCAACUUCCUCGACUACGACGUCUAUGACCUCGAGCUCACGGCCGUCAAGAACAACACCGAGCUGCGCAAGCUCUACAUCGAGACCACCGGCAAGUCCAUCAUCGUCAUCGAGGACAUCGACUGCUCCAUCGACCUCACCGGCAAGCGCAAGAAGUCCUCCGGCGACAACAAGGCGUCCGACGGCGGCGGCGAGGGCAGCGACGACAAACCCAAGCUGCCGACCGAGGCGGACAAGGACGACGGCGGCAGCAAGGUGACGCUGUCGGGGCUGCUCAACUUCAUCGACGGGCUGUGGUCGGCGUGCGGCGGCGAGCGGAUCAUCAUCUUCACGACGAACCACAAGGAGAAGCUGGACCCGGCGCUGAUCCGGCGGGGGAGGAUGGACGUCCACAUCGAGAUGUCCUACUGCGGCUUCGAGGCGUUCAAAGUGCUGGCCAGCAACUACCUCGGCGUGGAGCAGCACGAGCUGCUAGGCGACAUACGGCGGCUGCUCGAGGAGGCCGACAUGUCGCCGGCGGACGUCGCCGAGAACCUGAUGCCCAUGUCCAAGAGGAAGAAGAGGGACCCUGACGCGUGCCUGGCAGGUCUAGUCGAGGCGCUGAACAUGGCCAAGGAGGAAGCACAAGCAAACAAGGCGGCGAAAGAGGACGAGGAGGCAAAGGCAGCGAAAGGGAUAGAAGAGAUGAAAACCAAAGAGCAGGCAACGACCAACGGUGAAGACGAAGGGAAGGACAAAAGGACAUCGGAAGAGAACAAGGCCAACGGCGACAUAUAGAUAUUACUAGCAAGGUGUGGAAAAUACUUUUCGAACAAGCUGAACGCAAAAUACUACAUGGGAUCAUAUCGGGCAGCUGCAGAUCCCUGGAGUUGCAAGCCAUGUAUCCUAGCAGAGUGCUCAUGAAGAUUUUCAACCUUUAUUUUUACAUAACAGUUUGCUAAUAGGGCCUGCGAAAUUGUUAGCAUUUCCGUAUUAUAUUAAGGCUGAUAGUUGCUUGUAUUUUGUAAGAAUAUAAUAAUGCUAUGCACGCCUUCAAGCAAAGAGAUUGGAGGUAAUCUGGCCGGGACUAGUGCCUAGAUUUCAGACGCCAAA